rnacentral:misc_RNA from 1 species
GAUGAAGAACGCAGUGAAAUGCGAUACUUGGUGUGAAUUGCAGAAUCCCGUGAACCAUCGAGUCUUUGAACGCAAGUUGCGCCCGAAGCCACUAGGCCGAGGGCACGCCUGCCUGGGCGUCACACGUCGUUGCCCCCCCCCAUCUACUCCUUCGGGAUUGCGGGGGGCGGAUGAUGGCCUCCCGUGCGCCUAGCCGCGCGGUUGGCAUAAAUACCAAGUCCUCGGCGACGCACGCCACGACAAUCGGUGGUUGCGAAACCUCGGUUGCCCGUCGUGUGCGUUCGUCGCGCAUCGAGGGCUCGAAAAAAUGCUCGGCUCCGGCUCGGCUUUCAACGCGACCCCAGGUCAGGCGGGGUUACCCGCUGAAUUUAAGCAUAUCAAUAAGCGGAGGA